GGAUCGUUAGCUCAGCUGGCAGAGCAACGGACUCUUAAUCCGUGGGUCCGGGGUUCGAUCCCCCGACGGUCCA
rnacentral:tRNA from 3 species